rnacentral:rRNA from 1 species
GGGUUGUGAGGUUAAGCGACUAAGCGUACACGGUGGAUGCCCUGGCAGUCAGAGGCGAUGAAGGACGUGCUAAUCUGCGAAAAGCGUCGGUAAGGUGAUAUGAACCGUUAUAACCGGCGAUGUCCGAAUGGGGAAACCCAGUGCAAUUCGUUGCACUAUCGUUAACUGAAUACAUAGGUUAACGAGGCGAACCGGGGGAACUGAAACAUCUAAGUACCCCGAGGAAAAGAAAUCAACCGAGAUUCCCCCAGUAGCGGCGAGCGAACGGGGAGCAGCCCAGAGUCUGAAUCAGCUUGUGUGUUAGUGGAACGGUCUGGAAAGUCCGACGGUACAGGGUGAUAGUCCCGUACACCAAAAUGCACAGGUUGUGAACUCGAAGAGUAGGGCGGGACACGUGGUAUCCUGUCUGAAUAUGGGGGGACCAUCCUCCAAGGCUAAAUACUCCUGACUGACCGAUAGUGAACCAGUACCGUGAGGGAAAGGCGAAAAGAACCCCGGCGAGGGGAGUGAAAAAGAACCUGAAACCGUGUACGUACAAGCAGUGGGAGCACCUUUAUGGUGUGACUGCGUACCUUUUGUAUAAUGGGUCAGCGACUUAUAUUCUGUAGCAAGGUUAACCGUAUAGGGGAGCCGCAGGGAAACCGAGUCUUAACUGGGCGUUAAGUUGCAGGGUAUAGACCCGAAACCCGGUGAUCUAGCCAUGGGCAGGUUGAAGGUUGGGUAACACUAACUGGAGGACCGAACCGACUAAUGUUGAAAAAUUAGCGGAUGACUUGUGGCUGGGGGUGAAAGGCCAAUCAAACCGGGAGAUAGCUGGUUCUCCCCGAAAGCUAUUUAGGUAGCGCCUCGUGAACUCAUCUUCGGGGGUAGAGCACUGUUUCGGCUAGGGGGUCAUCCCGACUUACCAACCCGAUGCAAACUACGAAUACCGAAGAAUGUUAUCACGGGAGACACACGGCGGGUGCUAACGUCCGUCGUGAAGAGGGAAACAACCCAGACCGCCAGCUAAGGUCCCAAAGUCAUGGUUAAGUGGGAAACGAUGUGGGAAGGCACAGACAGCCAGGAUGUUGGCUUAGAAGCAGCCAUCAUUUAAAGAAAGCGUAAUAGCUCACUGGUCGAGUCGGCCUGCGCGGAAGAUGUAACGGGGCUAAACCAUGCACCGAAGCUGCGGCAGCGACACUAUGUGUUGUUGGGUAGGGGAGCGUUCUGUAAGCCUGCGAAGGUGGCCUGUGAGGGUUGCUGGAGGUAUCAGAAGUGCGAAUGCUGACAUAAGUAACGAUAAAGCGGGUGAAAAGCCCGCUCGCCGGAAGACCAAGGGUUCCUGUCCAACGUUAAUCGGGGCAGGGUGAGUCGACCCCUAAGGCGAGGCCGAAAGGCGUAGUCGAUGGGAAACAGGUUAAUAUUCCUGUACUUGGUGUUACUGCGAAGGGGGGACGGAGAAGGCUAUGUUAGCCGGGCGACGGUUGUCCCGGUUUAAGCAUGUAGGCGGAGGUUCCAGGUAAAUCCGGUACCUUUUAACGCUGAGGUGUGAUGACGAGGCACUACGGUGCUGAAGUAACAAAUGCCCUGCUUCCAGGAAAAGCCUCUAAGCAUCAGGUAACAUUAAAUCGUACCCCAAACCGACACAGGUGGUCAGGUAGAGAAUACCAAGGCGCUUGAGAGAACUCGGGUGAAGGAACUAGGCAAAAUGGUGCCGUAACUUCGGGAGAAGGCACGCUGGUGUGUAGGUGAAGUCCCUGCGGACGGAGCUGAGACCAGUCGAAGAUACCAGCUGGCUGCAACUGUUUAUUAAAAACACAGCACUGUGCAAACACGAAAGUGGACGUAUACGGUGUGACGCCUGCCCGGUGCCGGAAGGUUAAUUGAUGGGGUUAUCCGUAAGGAGAAGCUCUUGAUCGAAGCCCCGGUAAACGGCGGCCGUAACUAUAACGGUCCUAAGGUAGCGAAAUUCCUUGUCGGGUAAGUUCCGACCUGCACGAAUGGCGUAAUGAUGGCCAGGCUGUCUCCACCCGAGACUCAGUGAAAUUGAACUCGCUGUGAAGAUGCAGUGUACCCGCGGCAAGACGGAAAGACCCCGUGAACCUUUACUAUAGCUUGACACUGAACAUUGAGCCUUGAUGUGUAGGAUAGGUGGGAGGCUUUGAAGCGUGGACGCCAGUCUGCGUGGAGCCAACCUUGAAAUACCACCCUUUAAUGUUUGAUGUUCUAACGU